UACGUAGGGGUCGAGCGUUGUCCGGAGUUACUGGGCGUAAAGCGUGCGUAGGUGGUUUGUUAAGUCUGAUGUGAAAGCCCUGGGCUCAACCUGGGAAUUGCAUUGGAUACUGGCAGGCUAGAGUGCGGUAGAGGGUAGUGGAAUUCCCGGUGUAGCAGUGAAAUGUGUAGAGAUCGGGAGGAACAUCUGUGGCGAAGGCGACUACCUGGACCAGCACUGACGCUGAGGCACGAAAGCGUGGGGAGCAAACAGG
rnacentral:rRNA from 1 species